UGAAGUCCUUGCCUGCUAGGACACAGCCCUGGAGCUGCUGGGAUGUGGUGGCCUCACCUGUAUGCACAGCUGGCACCUUCCUGGUCUGUUCCUGACUUAGGUUUCCCUCUGCAGUGGGCUUCCUGACCCUAAUCCCAUCCCAAGCUCUGCAGAGAUAACCAGCAAGGCUCUGGCAUAUUCCAUGGUGUGCUCUCCUGCUACACCCCCACCCACCCAAUGAGGCUCACAAAAUGGGGCGAGAAGGCUAACACCCCAACAAAAGAUAUGCCAGGCCAGGGACAAAUCAGAGAGAGAGAAAAACCGUCAUCUAUUCCUGUUGACCUUACAUUCAGCGCCUCUCUUCACUUUCCCUCUCUCUAUGGAACUGUGGACAGGGGAGGUUGCCUGCCAUUCCAGUAAACAAAGAAGGUUGCCCGUCAUCUCAGUUCUACAAGGAUCAAACCUUUAGCCACUGCAGCCACCCACCGACCACAUGCCCUUAAGGGAAUUCAGGAUGUAGAAAAGCAGGAUGCAUUCUGUGCUUUGGAUACUGGCCCUAGAUAGUUAAGCAAAAAAACUCCUCUAUAUCCUGGCUCCUCCCUUACCACUUCAGAGCAGUUCCUCAGAGCUACCUGAGAGGCUGUAGUCUCCUGGGCUAUAGUCCUCAGCAGGUCCCCAAAUAAA